rnacentral:rRNA from 1 species
AGCGAACGCUGGCGGCAGGCCUAACACAUGCAAGUCGAGCGCCCCGCAAGGGGAGCGGCAGACGGGAGAGUAACACGUGGGAACGUACCCUUUGGUUCGGAACAACCCAGGGAAACUUGGGCUAAUACCGGAUAAGCCCUUACGGGGAAAGAUUUAUCGCCGAAGGAUCGGCCCGCGUCUGAUUAGCUAGUUGGUGGGGUAACGGCCCACCCAGGCGAAGAACAGUAGCUGGUCUGAGAGGAUGAUCAGCCUCACUGGGACUGAGACACGGCCCAGACUCCUACGGGAGGCAGCAGUGGGGAAUAUUGGACAAUGGGCGCAAGCCUGAUCCAGCCAUGCCGCGUGGGUGAUGAAGGCCCUAGGGUUGUAAAGCCCUUUCGGCGGGGAAGAUAAUGACGGUACCCGCAGAAGAAGCCCCGGCUAACUUCGUGCCAGCCGCCGCCGUAA